UACGGAGGAUCCAAGCGUUAUCCGGAUUUAUUGGGUUUAAAGGGUGCGUAGGCGGAUUGAUAAGUUAGAGGUGAAAUGUCCGAGCUCAACUCGGGAACUGCCUCUAAUACUGUUGAUCUAGAGAGUAGAUGCGGUAGGCGGAAUGUAUGGUGUAGCGGUGAAAUGCUUAGAGAUCAUACAGAACACCGAUUGCGAAGGCGGCUUACCAAUCUAUAUCUGACGUUGAGGCACGAAAGCGUGGGGAGCAAACAGG
rnacentral:rRNA from 1 species